UGUAAAAUCGAUCUCUUCAUUUUGUGAAUACAAGAUUCAGUUGAUUCCUUGAUAUGCAGGAAUUUAUACCAUUUCAACAAACAGAGAAUGCGAAUGUUUUGCGAGAUUUUAACAGCGAUUCUCCGAUUUAGGACACCCUGUACCAUCAUUAGUCUCAAUAAACUACCAUGCUUAGGUGAUGUGGAUUAAUUCGAUGAAGUUGACUGAAUCCCUGGAUGAGAGGUCGAAUCGAUGGAUCAAUUAGACAUUGAUCAAUUUAAAUAAACAUGCAAUUAGUGGUAUGGUACACCGAUUUCUGUUAAGUGUUUUUUUUAAGUGUAUCGAUUUGGGUCUCUGCAUAUUUCACAAAGCUGUGUGAGUCAAGUGGCCCUAAUUCAUGCAGCUCCAUUGUUUCUCUAGUCGUGGCACCAGGUGCCUAUAGUACCAUGAGGUGUAUUAUAGUCCUUUGUCAUUUUCUGAGUCACGAGACUCGAUUUAUUCAACGAAACGUUUAUGAUUGUUUUCAGCUAAUUGCUGGGUAAAUGGGAUUCCUUGUCGGUCGUUGUACCAUUGAGUUUUGCUCCUUUAGUCACGAAGGCCAUCAUAAGUAACGUCUGAUUUUGCAGGAAAUUUUGUCAGAUCAAAAGGCGAUUAUCCGCAAACCUGUGUUUGCUUUGGCUCUUUUGCAGAAGUAAAAAAUUCGGACCGGAAUGUAAUCCCGAUUUUUUUUAGCUAGACACAGUGAGUCAAUAUCAAAACACGUUUUCAUUGUUUUAUGCCAAUGCAGAAACCAUCACUACCGGUUCAGAAGACCUUGCCUUCGCAAAAUUUGCAUGCAGAGUAGUUCAGGCAACCACUUUUUGGCAAUAAAUGUGCUGUUGCGAGUGGGUUAUGUAAAUGCGACCUGCUGUUUCAUUCAUAAUCCACUUUCUUCUCCAAUUCCUAAGGCUUCAUUUGCAUAUACCUAUUUCUACCAAAUAUAUGUACGGAAUUUGUUGAAAAAAAAAUCGUGAAAUGUAGAGUUUAUCUCUGUGUAGACUGUGUGGUGAGCGCGACUAUUUCCGACUUGUUUAGUACCAGCGCAGGCUCUUACAAUGCGGAUUAAACUCUCAUUGGAUUAGAACUAGUCACAUCAAUGAUUUGAUGGAUCACAUUUGAUGAAUCAGGUUCGGAGAAUAGCCAGUGCUGUCCCACAGCAUGUUGGCAUGUUGUUAAUGGCAAAUAUAUCUUGUUUCCGUUAUCCAAGCGGCCGACUAAGUAACCUGAUAGGGUUGGCUUGGAAGAUUGCGCUUUUGCGGUUCGACAGAAACCCAUAUGAACGCAAUCCAGAAACUCCCUCGUCGUUCUUCGUCUAUUAAAUAUGGUAUGCAACAAUAUCAUAAAAUACAAGUCAACAAUAUGGGACUGAAGUAUCUACAUCUACAUGACAACCAGGGGUAAAGUAAUGCCAAACUUACCAAAAGCUGCAACGUGCCACCUGCAAAGAAAGAAGAAAAUGUGUUUAGUACAUCAGGAAUUCUGUCCAAAACCAUUAAGAAUAAGAAAUGUAAAGAAUGCAUAAAACUUCAAUUGCUUUGUUAAAAUUAAACUCAGUCCAAGCUAGA